ACUGUGACUGUCUCUACUUUCUGACUGUGAGUACUGCUACAAGUCCACCCCCACCUCUGCUUGUAGAAAUAAAAAGUGCAGAUUUAUGAGAGGGGAUGGGUCUACCUGGAGUGACUUGAGGAAUACCCAGAAGACCCCGUCCACCUCCUCCUGCUUAGAAUAUGCCUUUUGCUAGCCUGCUGUGAUGCCUGGAAUUUCAUCCUUCACCCAUGUGCUGCAGGACAAGAGGAGGGCCAGAAAGCUCUGCCCAUGCCUGGGGAGCAUGCUGGAUCUCCCUUCCAGCUACAGAAGAGGUCUAUGGUUUCUUAGACACGCGUGGAUUCUCACAGCCACCACCACAGACAGUACAAGCAACAGUUCCAAUACUCCAGAGAACGCCCUCAUCUCUCCUCACCCCUGCCUUCUGGCAAGCAAUGAGCUGUUCUCUGUUCCUGUAUUUUUGCCUUUUCUAGAAUGCCAUAUAAAUGGAAUUAUAUAGAAUGU
rnacentral:lncRNA from 1 species